CGGAUGUUCCGAUGCAAAAAUGCAAAGUUUGCGGGUUAGCAAUAACCGUAAAAUCGUGAACGCUUCCUAAACCUGUAAUCGGACCUUAGGAUACCAUCUUCGACGUGCACGUAUGGGAAUUUGGGGAGUUAAGCAAUUAAUUUGUGAUUUCCGCUUGGACGUGGUUUUUAUAUUAAUUAACGGUUCGUAUUUCGAAAUAGGUAUUUCGACUGCACGCUCGCAACAAGCAGGACCUUCACGUGGUCAGGCAGCGAGGGAAUAUUUGUGAGUGGACUUUGUUUUAACCAUAUGCCUGGUUUUAAUUAAUGAAAGAUUUUGCAUAAUGUUUUAAUGGAUUCUGGAUUUUUAUAUGUCUUAUGCAUGGAUAAAUUCUGAUGGGUGUAUAGCAAUUGGCAAUAUAUUGUGAAAUUGGCAUUUUUGGGUUUUGUGAGUGUAUUUUAUAUGUGGAUUGUGGGGAGGUAUAUUUUGAUAUAUUCUUUUUAGAUGAGAUAUUUGGGUUGUUGGAGGGUGUUAUGGAAGAGUGUGUUUAGAGAGGAGUUGUGGGAUUACACUACGUAAGUACCUUCCCCAGUUACUAGUCUCACUCGCGGCGUUGGAUGUUCCGGCGGGUGAGACACUUUCCGUAUGCGGCGUUGGAUGUUCUGGCGUACGGAAAGAUUGUGUAUAGAGUUUAGGGUCAUCACCAUGGCGUUGGAUGUUCCGGUGUGUGAUGAUCCAGUCUGCGCGCGUAGGACAUAGUUUGAGAGCUACACAUGGCGUUGGAUGUUCCGGUGUGGGAGCUUUGGAGUUUCGUCCCCCGGUUGGACCCCUCAUCCCUAGACGCAGGAUAGCACCUGGAAAUCCUGCGGACUAGUCAAACGAUCCCCCAGUUGGAUUGUUUUCCCCGGUACCUAGGUGGUGUGACGAGUAUACCGUAUAGUUAUUUAUAGUUAAUUAUAUAUAUAUAUAUAUUCUUUUUAUGUGUAUUUAUUGAAUAGGUAUAGUUGAGUGUGAAAGGAAUUGGAGUGUGUUUAAUAGUUGACAGGAGUGGUGAGUUUGAGAGAAUGUGGUUCUUUUUUUUUGAAGGAGAAAACUGAUGUUUUUAGAUGAGUUUUACUGAAGCAUGUUUUGAGUAAUUUCUUAUUGAAUUGUGAACCUGCAUGACUCGAGCAUUAUUUUUACUUGGUGGGGUUAUUAUGUUGUUUUUAACUACAAACCUGGUUUUUGUCCACUCACAUGUUUUCUGUUUUGCGCCCCCCAGCCAGUAGUUGCGCCUGGAAGUGCAAGUGGUGUACGAAAGCGGAUUCGGUGCACCCUUCUAAUUAGGAUCUGUGUAAAUUCUUCUACUCAACUGUACUUGUAAUCUAAAUUCAGUAGAUGCUCUGUAUUGCCAUGGUAGAUUUUACUUGUGAGGCCGGAGGCCACUCUAGUAUGAAUUAUGUAUGUGUGAAAGCAUGCUGCUGGUUGGGAUUAGUAUUACUGUGUGUUGCAGGUUGAAUAAAUUUUGUUGGGAUUGUUUAGAUUGCAGGGGAGACUCUGCCAAAUUUUUGUUAGAAAGUCUCAAUUAUUUAGUAGGUGGGCCCGGCAUCGGGAUGAUGUCGGGAUCAAGACGGGGUCCGCCUCGGUCUUGGGGAAAUUCCAGGGCGGGUCUUGUCAGCUUGGUAUCAGAGCAUUAGGUUCAUUUUCCUUCGACUAUUGCACUUUUGCUGCAUUGUUGAUCUAAUGAUUUCAUGAUUUCUUUGUGUAGAAUCAUGUCAGCUCGCAGAGCUAGAACAAGAGGCCGUGGGCAGAGAUGGGGGCCGAAUCCUCCACCUCCAUCUCCAUCACCCCCUCCUUCACCACCACUACCUUCACCUUCACCUUCACCACCUCCACCUACUGGAGAUAAUGCUUUGGAUUUGAGGCAUGUGCUCAGUCAGUUUACUCAUACAAUGGCUACAGCCUUACGGGGAAGGCGUGGUACGGAAAGUUCGGAAAUUAAGAGAGUUAAGGAACUUGGAGCUAAAGAAUUCCUGGGUAGUACAGAUCCGGCAGAAGCAGAAUUAUGGAUUACCGACGUGGAGAGAAUCUUUGAUGUCCUGGAAUGCCCAGCUGAGGAUAGAGUCCGUUUGGCCACCUUUCUACUCAAGGGAAAUGCGUAUCAUUGGUGGAAAGCAGUAAAAAGGGGUUAUGAAAAUCCGGCUGCUAUAAAUUGGGAAGAAUUUCAACGAGUAUUUUCAGAUCAGUUUUACCCACCUUCUUAUAAACAGGCAAAGAAGUCAGAGUUUCUCUAUCUGAAACAGGGGUCUAUGUCAGUAGUGGAAUAUGAACACAAAUUUAAUGAGCUGUCCAGGUUUGCUCCCGAGUUGGUGGCUACAGAGGAAGACAGAUGUAGACGCUUUGAGGAAGGUUUAUGGUGGGAAAUUCAGGCAGUUGUUACCGCUAGCACCUAUCCAAAUAUGAGGGCUUUGGCUCAGGCAGCAGCAAGGGUGGCAAGGAAACUUGGUGGGAAUGUUGGUAGGCGCCAUAGGGAUGCACCAGGAAUUGGUGGGCCCAGUCAGGGUCCAUCAAAGAGGGGAGGAUCUAGUUCCAGUUCGGCUAGUGGAGGAUGGUCAGGAGGACGGGGAUCUAGUUCUAGCAGUAGGAGAUCUGGUUCUCGUUCGGCUUGGACUCAGUAUUCGGGACCACAGUCUGUAGCUAGCACAGCCAGGGCUCCUUCUAGGUACACUGGGUUGACAUGUUUUCAUUGUGGGCAAGUUGGGCAUAUUGCGAAGGAUUGUCCCAGUUACACUCAGGGAGGUGGAUCAAGCCAGAGUAGUAGCCUGACAUGCUACUUUUGUGGGCAAGUAGGACAUACUAAGAGAAACUGCCCAAUUAUACUCCAGAAUGAUGCAAUGAAUCAGGGAACUGGGGCCCAGCUGGGGCAAGGUAUCUUGGGUCAGAAUCAGAAUCAGGGUGGUGUUUCUUCCUCUGCAGCGGGGUCAUCCAGUAGUAGGGCAUCGUCAUCUUCUAGAGGCAGAGGUGGUAGGCAAUUAAGGGGUCAACCUGGGCGCUCCACUACUCAGGCCCGUGUGUUCUCCAUGUCUCAGCAGGAAGCCUAUGCUACCCCGGACGUGAUUACUGGUAUGAUUCCGAUUUUUGGUUAUCUUGCACGUGUUUUAAUUGACCCGGGGGCCACACACUCUUUUGUAGCACACAAUUUCAUACCGUAUGUCAGUAUUAGACCCACACCUAUGACAGGGAGCUUUAGUAUUUCCCUACCUACGGGAGAAGUCUUAUACGCAGAUCGGAUAUUCAGAAAUUGUUUUGUCCAAGUAGAUGAUGCAUGGUUGGAAGCAAAUUUAAUUCCUUUAGACUUGGUGGAUUUGGAUAUUAUUUUGGGGAUGGAUUGGCUGGAGAAACAUCAUGCUUCAGUGGAUUGUUAUCGGAAGGAAGUAACGUUUCGAAGUCCAGGGCAACCUAGAGUUACCUUCCGUGGGGAGCGUAGAGUUCUCCCUACUUGUCUAAUCUCUGCUAUUACAGCCAAGAAGUUACUCCAGAAGGGAUGUGAGGGGUAUUUGGCGCACAUCAUUGAUACUCGAGAGAUCACCCUAAAUCUGGAAGAUAUUCCUGUUGUUUGUGAUUUUCCUGAUGUCUUUCCAGAUGAUCUCCCUGGUUUACCCCCUGAAAGGGAAAUCGAGUUCACUAUUGAACUUCUUCCGGGCACCAACCCUAUUUAUCUAACCCCCUAUAGGAUGGCACCAGCUGAACUUCGGGAGUUGAAGAUUCAAUUACAGGAGUUAGUAGAUCUUGGGUUCAUCAGACCCAGUGUUUCACCGUGGGGUGCACCUGUAUUGUUUGUGAGGAAGAAAGAUGGAACCAUGAGGUUAUGUAUUGAUUACCGGCAGCUGAAUAAGGUGACGAUACGUAACCGGUACCCUUUGCCUCGGAUUGAUGAUCUGUUUGAUCAGUUGAAGGGUGCUAAGUAUUUUUCUAAGAUCGAUUUGAGAUCAGGAUACCACCAGUUGAGGAUCAGGGAAGAGGAUAUUCCUAAGACCGCAUUCAGAACACGGUAUGGACAUUAUGAAUUUCUGGUGAUGCCGUUUGGGCUGACAAAUGCUCCAGCAGCGUUUAUGGAUCUCAUGAACAGAGUGUUCCGACCCUACUUGGAUCACUUUGUGAUUGUAUUCAUCGACGAUAUCUUGGUGUACUCCCAGACUUUGGAAGGGCAUAAGAAGCAUCUGAGGUUGGUAUUGAGAACCUUGAGAAGGAAGCAGCUUUAUGCUAAAUUUAGUAAGUGUCAGUUCUGGCUGGACAGAGUGGUAUUUCUGGGACAUGUAAUUUCAGCUGAAGGGAUUUAUGUGGAUCCACAGAAAGUUGAAGCUAUUGUGAACUGGGUACAACCCACCAGUGUGACAGAAAUACGGAGUUUUCUAGGAUUGGCAGGCUACUAUCGUCGAUUUGUGGAAGGGUUUUCUUCGAUAGCAGCACCUCUCACACGGUUGACAAAGAAAGAUGUUGCAUAUGAGUGGACGGAAGAAUGUGAACAAAGUUUUAAAGAAUUAAAGAAGCGAUUAACCACUGCACCUGUUUUGGCUCUUCCAGAUAAUGCAGGAAAUUUUGUGAUCUACAGUGAUGCAUCUUUGCGAGGCUUGGGAUGUGUUCUGAUGCAACAUGAUCGGGUGAUUGCUUAUGCCUCGAGGCAACUCAAGAAGCAUGAGCAAAAUUAUCCAGUUCAUGAUCUGGAACUUGCCGCUGUAGUGUUCGCUCUUAAGAUUUGGCGGCAUUAUUUGUAUGGUGAGACGUGUCAGAUUUUCACUGAUCAUAAAAGUCUCAAGUACUUUUUCACUCAAAAGGAGCUUAAUAUGAGACAACGACGUUGGUUGGAAUUGAUAAAGGAUUAUGACUGCACAAUUGAGUAUCAUCCAGGCCGAGCUAAUGUGGUAGCAGAUGCACUGAGUAGGAAGACUACGGGAAGUUUGGCUCAUCUCAGAACGGCAUAUCUUCCGUUGUUAGUGGAACUACGGAAAGAUGGUGUGGGACUGGAAAUGGCGCAACAGGGAGGAUUACUUGCUAGUUUGCAUGUGAGACCCAUUUUGGUGGAGCGGAUAAUUGAAGCCCAGUUGGGAGACCCAACACUUUGUAGAAUAAGGGGAGAAGUAGAAAGUGGUUCGCGGAAAGAUUAUGCAAUAAGGGGAGAUGGGGCGUUGGUAACAGGAACUCGCCUCUGUGUACCUAAGAAUGAUUAUCUGAAAAGAGAAAUCCUGGAGGAAGCUCACUGUUCCACUUACACUAUGCAUCCAGGAAGCACCAAGAUGUAUCGAACCCUACGGGAGUAUUACUCAUGGCCGCAUAUGAAGGGAGAUAUUGCCAAGUAUGUGAGUAGAUGCUUGAUUUGUCAACAAGUGAAAGCGGAGCGACAGAAACCUUCCGGACUUAUGCAACCGCUUCCAAUUCCUGAAUGGAAGUGGGAGCACAUUACCAUGGAUUUCGUUUUCAAGCUUCCACGUACUCCCAAUGGACAUGAUGGAAUUUGGGUGAUAGUGGAUAGACUCACCAAGUCCGCCCAUUUCCUACCUGUUAAGGAAACUUAUUCUCUGACAAAAUUGGCAAAACUUUUUGUGGACGAGAUUGUGAGGUUACAUGGAGCACCUGUGUCCAUUGUAUCGGACAGGGAUGCCCGAUUUACUUCUCGAUUCUGGAAGUGUUUGCAGGAAGCUAUGGGUACUAGGUUGCGGUUUAGCACAGCUUUUCACCCCCAGACUGAUGGACAAUCAGAAAGAACUAUUCAGACUUUGGAGGAUAUGUUGAGGUCGUGUGUACUGCAGAUGAAAGAUUCAUGGGAUACUCACCUUGCCUUGGUGGAAUUUGCAUACAAUAACAGUUAUCAUGCGAGUAUAAAGAUGGCUCCUUAUGAGGCGUUGUAUGGGAGACAGUGUAGGACUCCUAUGUGUUGGAACGAAGUGGGAGAUAAGAAAUUAGAAAAAGUGGAAAGUAUCCGAGCAACAACCGAAAAAGUGAAGAUCAUUAAAGAAAAGCUGAAGAUCGCACAAGACCGACAGAAGAGUUAUGCAGAUAAUAGGUCCAAAGAUCUCGAAUUUGCAGUUGGGGAUUGGGUGUUCCUGAAGUUAUCUCCUUGGAAGGGUGUGAUGAGAUUCGGAAAACGUGGGAAAUUAAGCCCUCGUUAUAUUGGACCCUAUGAGAUUACUGAACGCAUCGGACCGGUUGCUUAUAGACUUGCAUUACCUGCAGAACUAUCUCGGGUGCAUGAUGUGUUCCAUGUAUCUAUGUUUCGGAAGUAUAUGCCAGACCCUUCUCACGUUUUAGAAUAUCCACCUGUGGAGUUGGAAGAAGAUUUGUCAUUUGAGGAGCAACCUGUGCAAAUUCUAGAUAGGAAAGAACAACAGUUGCGCUCUAGAUCCAUUCCAGUAGUGAAGGUUCUGUGGAGAAGCCAAACUGUGGAAGAAGCUACAUGGGAGCCUGAGACACAAAUGAGGGUCAAGUACCCUCAUCUUUUCCAUUGACAGGUACGUGAAUUUCGGGGACGAAAUUUUCUUUAAGGAGGGUAGAUUGUAACACCCCGACUCCAAAUUAAAUGAUUAUUUUAAUCGAUUUUUAUAAAAUUACGAAUUUACCCUUGGGAUAGGGGUAAAUUGGUCACUUUCUUCUUCGGAAGGAUUUUGGGACCACGAGUGGCAUUUCUGAGAAGAUGGUACUGAGACGAAUUCAUAGACACGCGGUAGGUUUGAAUCGGGGUUGUAACGAAAAAGUUACGGGCAAAAUAGUGUCAGUGGCAAACUUGUAAAUAUUUCAAAAAGUUUGGUAAAAAUCAGAUUUUCACCUCAGCUCUCUCUCUCUUCGCGCGCGACACUCUCUCUCUCCUCAGUCUCUCUCUCUCUCCCCGACGUUCACUCUCUCUCUCCUCGGCUUGCCCAGUUCCGGCCACGGCAGGACCCGAGAUCGGUCCCGUUCGACUCGUCUCGUCGCCCCGGUCAAGCUCCGCCCGUUUUCCCCGUCGGAAACCAAGGAUUCCGGCCGCGAGCUCGACGAUUUUAAACCGAAGCCUUUCAGCCGUCGCGCCGCCGCCUCCGCCGCCCAAACCCGGUGAUUGAGGUAUGAUUUCUCUUCCAUUUUCCGAGUUCUAGCUGAUGUUGGUAUAGGUUUUGAUUGAUUUCGAGUUUGGAAAACCGAUUAGAAAUCUAGGUUUUGGGCCGAAUUUCAACAUGAAAUUCCGGCCAGUUGCCGGCCGAAUUGGAGCUUCUCGUAGUUGAAUGAAGUGAUCCUGACCUCAAGUAGAAGCUAGGGUAGGAAGGGUGAGCUCGGGUGUGGAGUUUUUCCGUCACCGGAAUUACUCUGCACACCCACGCGCUGCCAGCGCGUGUGGCGGCACGUGGGCGAGUCUGGCGAGGAUGUAAAUUGACCCGAUGAGAUCCUUAGGUUGUCACGAGCGCAUAGGAAUUCGCGGAUCUCGAUUCGGAUGUCGUUUGGCUAUCGAACGGAUUUUCGCAUAUUAUGCGUUAUCCGAGUUCGAUAGGUUCCGACCGUUAGAUCUUUCCCAAUUUAAAAUAUGUUGUUCUAGGUAUUCCUAGGACCGUAUGGGACUUCACGAAUUCUGAAUCGGAGCCCCGGAUGUUCCGAUGCAAAAAUGCAAAGUUUGCGGGUUAGCAAUAACCGUAAAAUCGUGAACGCUUCCUAAACCUGUAAUCGGACCUUAGGAUACCAUCUUCGACGUGCACGUAUGGGAAUUUGGGGAGUUAAGCAAUUAAUUUGUGAUUUCCGCUUGGACGUGGUUUUUAUAUUAAUUAACGGUUCGUAUUUCGAAAUAGGUAUUUCGACUGCACGCUC
rnacentral:lncRNA from 1 species